CCUAGUUCUAUUAGGGUUUGGAGUUUCCCUCAUGCACAUAUAAAUAUAUGUUUUCUAUCACCAAUUAAGGUGUGAGAGAGAAAAGAAAAAAGCCACAGCUUAGUGUUAUUGAAGUUAGCCACAGUUUUUUUUUUUUGAGGAGUUAGCCACAGUUUUGGGCUCUAUAGAAAAUUACCUUUUGGUUUGUUGCUUUUGUUCUUGUGAGCAACAAUAUAUUGAGAAAACCUAUGGAGGGACGGGAAUCGAUCAAACUCCGGAAGCAGGUUGUGACUUGUAGAUGAAGUUGCUCAAUGAAGUACAGUAGCCAAACUUGGCUCUUAUAAUUUGACAAUAAGAAAUGGAAUUGUGUGAGGGUUUAUGUCAAGAAUAAUGAAAUUGAGAUUCUAGCUAGCAGUAUCGACAGCAACGGUCGAAUUUACACUUGUACUUAUUUAGUGAAUUUUGAAAAAAAGAAAAGUUGUGCCCGAUGAUGAUUUUUUUCUUUCUCUGAUGGAUAUCUCAAGGAGUAAAAGGGUGUUUUGAA